CGACCGGCGCACGGGUGCGUAACGCGUAUGCAACCUACCUUUAACAGGGGGAUAACACUGAGAAAUUGGUACUAAUACCCCAUAAUAUCAUAGAAGGCAUCUUUUUAUGGUUGAAAAUUCCGAUGGUUAGAGAUGGGCAUGCGUUGUAUUAGCUAGUUGGUGGGGUAACGGCUCACCAAGGCGACGAUACAUAGGGGGACUGAGAGGUUAACCCCCCACACUGGUACUGAGACACGGACCAG
rnacentral:rRNA from 1 species